UCUAGUGGAUGUGGCAGACCCCUGGGCUACCAGCCCAAGGGAUGCACCUCAAUGGCCCCCACUGGUGUCUGUAUCAGCACACCUGGACCAGCUCAGAACAACGGCCCCCACCAAUGUCUCAGUCUCCAGAGAGGCCCCUCCUCUCGCCAAGAUGCCCCCAGAGCCCACCAGUUUUCAAUCCAGGGUGAUUCUUCCCGAAAUUGUUGUAACCUUGUUGUGUUCGUGGGAGGAGGCGAGUUCAACGUCUGCUCACAGUGCCAUCUUGACAAGAUCCUGAUUUAUACCUUUGUGGAAGAUACAUGAGGACAAAUGCAAUAGCACGGGUGAUGUCAGCAACAGUUGGAAGUUGUGAAGCCAUUCGAAUAGUAGUGACCUGCUUAGCCUAUCAGAGAAUGGUAAAUGCCGUCAGUCAGGAAAGUCUAGAAGCAGACCAAUGGUGUCAUCAAAACUCUGAAAGACUUUGGAAAUGAAAGCACAGAUUUGGACUUUUCAACAAGAAUAUUAAGAUCUAGAAGACAAUGGAUUAAUAUUUUAACUACUAACAGUUCAAUGUCUUUCAACCUAAAAAGGUAUACGCUGUCAAACCAUCCAUCAAUUGCAAGGAAAAAGUAGUGACAUUUUUGGGCAUGCAUAUGCUUAAAAUAUUUUCCUUCCAUGUAUCCUUUAUCAGGAAGUUAUUAGAUAAUAUGUCAUAUCAUACAAAAAAAUUACCAAGGAAAAGGAAGACAUGAAAUCAGGGGAUAGCAAGAA
rnacentral:lncRNA from 1 species